rnacentral:misc_RNA from 1 species
AAAAAAAAAAAAAAAAAAUCCAGAGGCUUCUUUCGUUUGUUUGUUUGUGCUCCUGCAUCUAAUUUCCAAUUUAUUUUUCCCCUAAUAUUUCAAGAAGAAGAAGAAGAAGAACUUAGCUAAAGGUUUAAUAGCAAAUAAUCCCUUGAAUUAGCUUUUCUUAAUUUAUUCUUUGAUGCUGAUCGAUGUUAUGCUUAUCUUGGACAGGGGAAGAAAUGGUUGCUUCUGUUCCUUUGUGUUCCUCGAUUUCAUUUUGAAUUUAUCUUUCCCCUAAUCUUCAAAAAGAAAAAGAGCAAGAUCUUAGUUUCAUGCACUUCUCUGAUCCUUGAGGUUGUUGAAAA